CAAUCGGCCCUUUUCAGGGCCCCAAUUUUCUUAAACCUAGAACAAU
rfam:Habropoda laboriosa contig5014, whole genome shotgun sequence.